GGGGGAUUAGCUCAGCUGGGAGAGCGCUUGCAUGGCAUGCAAGAGGUCAUCGGUUCGAUCCCGUUAUCCUCCACC
rnacentral:tRNA from 2 species